rnacentral:sRNA from 1 species
GCCAGGUGUGGUGAUGCACUCCUGUAGUCCCAGCUACUAGGGAGGCUGAGGUGGGAGGAUUGCUUGAGCCUGGGAGGUUGAGGCUGCAGUGAGCCGAGAUUGUGCCACUGUGCUCUAGCCUGAGUGACAGAGCGAGACCCCAUCUCUC